GUGACUGCUUAAUGAGUACAAAGCCUC
rnacentral:piRNA from 1 species